UUUCCCAUUUGACUACCCCUUUUUCUCCUAAAAAUAGAUUUUGGUGGCUAUGCUUAUGGGAUACAGUAAAGUGGCCAUGAUCUGAAGGGGGCGGGCCUGACGUGCCCUCCUCCUAUAUGAAAUGGCUGAACAGACAGAA